rnacentral:lncRNA from 1 species
AGAACAUCAUGGUUUCUACCCUCUGAAUGUAAGUGGAAUGCCGCCCAGGCUCAAAAAGAUCAAACAGACUUAGUGACUAGUAGCUUCCUUGUGCGACCACUGGCUAUUAUGGGCUCUGGCUUAGUUGAUCAGUCGUGGAAACCUUACCCGGAUGUGCCAGCUGAUUUAGCUAUGAUAGGUGGGAUGGGCCUCCUGUGGGACUAG